rnacentral:rRNA from 1 species
AUUGAACGCUGGCGGCAGGCCUAACACAUGCAAGUCGAACGAGUGGCGGACGGGUGAGUAAUGGCUGGGAAACUGCCUGAUGGCGGGGGAUAAAUACUGGAAACGGUAGCUAAUACCGCAUACCAUCAGAUGUGCCCAGAUGGGAUUAGCUAGUUGGUGGGGUAACGGCUCACAAAGGCGACGAUCCCUAGCUGGUCUGAGAGGAUGACCAGCCACACGGGAACUGAGCCACGGUCCAGACUCCUACGGGAGGCGGCAGUGGGGAAUAUUGCACAAUGGGCUCAAGCCGGAUGCAGCCAGGCCGCGUGUAUGAAGAAGUCCUUCGGGUUGUAAAGUACUUUCAGCGGGGAGGCGUUACCCGCAGAAGAAGCACCGGCUAACUCCGUGCCAGCAGCCGCGGUAAUUC